rnacentral:rRNA from 1 species
CUGAAACCUAAGAUAGCAGAUUUUGGUAUGGCGAGGCUCUUUGGUGAUAACCAACAAAAUGCAAACACCCAACGUGUUGUCGGAACAUAUGGCUACAUGGCCCCUGAGUAUGCACUGGAAGGCAUUAUCUCUAUGAAGUCCGAUGUCUAUAGCUUCGGCGUGUUACUACUAGAAGUUGUAACCGGUAUAAGGAGAAACUCUAAUGGUCACACGAUGAGUUUCCCUAGUCUAACAGUUUAUGCAUGGAAUAUGUGGAAGGAAGGGAAGACAGAGGAAUUGGCAGACUCGACUCUGCUGGAUAACUAUUCACCAGAUGAAGUUUUGCUCUGCAUCCAUGUGGGACUCAUGUGUGUCCAAGAAAACCCAGAUGACAGGCCACUCAUGUCAAAUGUUGUGUUUGCCUUGGAGAAUGGAAGCACAACACUUCCAACCCCCAACAUCCCUGCCUACUUUGCACGACGAAGCGCGGAAAUAGAGCAAAUCAGGGUCGAUAUUCAAAACUCUGUGAAUAGUUUUACUCUUUCAGAGAUACAAGGGCGGUGA